rnacentral:lncRNA from 1 species
AGUACAAUAAAUGAUAUUAGUACAUUUUCUUAAGUCGUGAUCAUGUCUUGCAUGCCCCCUAGUAUUAUGACCACUUGCAUGUUUUCCUCGAAUUUCAUCAGUUUCCAGGAUCAAGUGCAAAACAUAAAAUGUGAUAAGUAAAUAGAAAAUUCUAUUGAAGAUAUUGAAUUUUUAUUUCAUGUAGACUGACCAACAAAGAGGACAUGUAGNNNN